AAGACCUUGCGCUUUUGGAGCGGCCGAUGUCUGAUUAGCUUGUUGGUGAGGUAAAGGCUUACCAAGGCUUCGAUCAGUAGCUGGUCUGAGAGGACGGCCAGCCACACUGGGACUGAGACACGGCCCAGACUCCUACGGGAAGCAGCAGUGGGGAAUUUUGGACAAUGGGGGCAACCCUGAUCCAGCCAUGCCGCGUGAGUGAAGAAGGCCUUCGGGUUGUAAAGCUCUUUCAGCCGGAACGAAACGGUUACGAUUAAUACCCGUAACUACUGACGGUACCGGAAGAAGAAGCACCGGCUAACUACGUGCCAGCAGCCGCGGUAAUACGUAGGGUGCGAGCGUUAAUCGGAAUUACUGGGCGUAAAGCGUGCGCAGGUGGUUUUGUAAGUCAGAUGUGAAAUCCCCGGGCUUAACCUGGGGACU
rnacentral:rRNA from 1 species